rnacentral:rRNA from 1 species
GACGAACGCUGGCGGCGUGCUUAACACAUGCAAGUCGAACGGAAAGGCCCUGCUUUUGUGGGGUGCUCGAGUGGCGAACGGGUGAGUAACACGUGAGUAACCUGCCCUUGACUUUGGGAUAACUUCAGGAAACUGGGGCUAAUACCGGAUAGGAGCUCCUGCUGCAUGGUGGGGGUUGGAAAGUUUCGGCGGUUUGGGAUGGACUCGCGGCUUAUCAGCUUGUUGGUGGGGUAGUGGCUUACAAAGGCUUGGACGGGGAGCCGGCCUGGGAGGGUGACCGGCCACAGUGGGACUGAGAUACGGCCCAGACUCCUACGGGAGCAAGCGGUGGGGAAUAUUGCACAAUGGGCGGAGGGCGGAUGGAGCAACGUCGCGUGCGGGAUGACGGCUGUCGGGUUGUAAACCGCUUGCGCCUGGGACGAAGCGUGAGUGACGGUAAUGGGUAAAGAAGCACCGGCUAACUACGUG